UGACCAAUGCGGGAUUCGAACCUGGGUCUUUAUGUCUAAAAUCAACGCUUUAUACCACUCGGCUACCAAACC